GCCUUAAUAGCUCAGUCGGUAGAGCAUGCGGCUGUUAACCGCAGGGUCGUUGGUUCGAGUCCAUCUUAAGGCGCCA
rnacentral:tRNA from 1 species